AGGGUCCUGACAUCGUCACAGCACAGAUACUUGAUGUACUGCGACUUCUUCUGGAUUUGUGGAUGCUGCAAAAAGAAGGAAAUAUGUAUUUUAUUACACCGAUACCUCACAUGUCCACUGAAAAAAUCUUUUGGCUUUUAAGCAUGUAGCAUCUCAUGAUGUAAUAACUGAAAAUUGCGAGAGGAAAAGUGAUACACAUGCAAGAUUGAGUUCUUGAUUUUAUGAAUUGUUCUUUUUCUUUAUAAUCUCAUUAUUACUUGACGCUUUGGCAAUAUUGUCCUUGUUGCGUUCAUGCCAAUAAAGCCUACUGAAUUGAAUUACAUUUAAUU